rnacentral:lncRNA from 1 species
GAAAACUCUAUUUAGAUUAUUGUUUAAUACAUAUUGAAUUUUAUCAUCUUUAUAUUUUACAAAUCAUAUAAAAUAUGCACAAGCUUAAUAUAUUUUAAUCAUUGUAAUGUAUUUUUGAGAUUUAUUUUUCCUCGUGCAUAUGAGACACUUAACGCUAUACUUGGCACUUAGUGAUAUUUUCCGGCUCCCGAACCGACAUAAAUUACUGCAAUGCGGUUUAAACAAACACGAAAAAACGCGAUCUAGUGCGGGUUUCAGUUUAAUUUAUCAACAGAAAGUUCGAAGUAUUGAAGUCAGUCCUGAUUAACAAAGAGUCGGUGUUUCAUUCACUUUGAUACGUACAAAAGCCUCGAAAAAACGCAGGGCGUAUGCCGCAUGGAGACUAUGGACAUAAAAGAAGCUGACUGCAGAAGCUGUUUCAACAAGAAUGUUCCUGAGAAGGCAUGAAGGGGACGUGAUGGGGUUUCAUCGUUGGUCGCAAGGAAGCUCAGGAGUGCCCAGGAACCCGGACCUGGCAUACGAAAUCUGAUAAUUCUCUGGAGUGAAUCUUAACUUGGAAGACGGAGCAGCAAUGGAAGCGGGUGCAAUAAAAACCGACACAAAACUCGUCGGCCAAACAACUACCGGCAUACGCGAACCAAACUGCAGUAGGAUCUUGAUCUGGUACCGACCGAAAUGAUUAUCUGCACUAAUCUCUGUUCAAUUCAGUUUGUGAUGUACAAUUAUUUAAAGAAUUAGCAAAAUAAAAAUAAUCCAUUGAUUAGUUUCAUUUUUA